UACGUAGGUGGCGAGCGUUGUCCGGAUUUAUUGGGCGUAAAGGGUGCGUAGGCGGCCUUUUAAGUCAGAUGUGAAAGACCACGGCUUAACCGUGGGGUUGCAUUUGAAACUGGAGGGCUUGAGUAUCGGAGAGGGUAGUGGAAUUCCCAGUGUAGCGGUGGAAUGCGUAGAUAUUGGGAGGAACACCAGUGGCGAAGGCGACUACCUGGACGAAAACUGACGCUGAGGCACGAAAGCUAGGGGAGCAAACAGGAUUAGAUACCCUGGUAGUCCCUGAGCGGG
rnacentral:rRNA from 1 species